rnacentral:rRNA from 1 species
AUUGAACGCUGGCGGCAUGCUUUACACAUGCAAGUCGAACGGUAACAGGGUGCUUGCACCGCUGACGAGUGGCGAACGGGUGAGUAAUGCGUCGGAACGUACCGAGUAGUGGGGGAUAACGCAGCGAAAGUUGUGCAAUACCGCAUACGUACUGAGGUAGAAAGUGGGGGACCUUCGGGCCUCACGCUAUUCGAGCGGCCGACGUCUGAUUAGCUAGUAGGUGAGGAAAAGGCUCACCUAGGCGACGAUGAGUAGCGGGUCUGAGAGGAUGAUCCGCCACACUGGGACGGGGACACGUCCCAGACUCCUACGGGAGGCAGAAGUGGGGAAUGUUGGACAAUGGGCGAAAGCCUGAUCCAGCCAUGCCGCGUGUCUGAAGAAGGCCUUCGGGUUGUAAAGGACUUUUGUCAGGGAGGAAAUCCCUAGUGCUAAUAACACUGGGGGAUGACAGUACCUGAAGAAUAAGCACCGGCUAACUACGUGCCAGCAGCCGCCGUAA